rnacentral:rRNA from 1 species
UAAGGAAUAUUGGUCAAUGGGCGCAAGCCUGAACCAGCCAUGCCGCGUGCAGGAAGACGGCCCUACGGGUUGUAAACUGCUUUUGCAGGGGAAUAAACCCCCGUAUGUAUACGGGGUUGAAUGUACUCUGAGAAUAAGGAUCGGCUAACUCCGUGCCAGCAGCCGCGGUAAUACGGAGGAUCCGAGCGUUAUCCGGAUUUAUUGGGUUUAAAGGGUGCGUAGGCGGCCUUGUAAGUCAGGGGUGAAAGACGGUAGCUUAACUAUCGCAGUGCCUUUGAUACUGCAGGGCUUGAAUGUACUUGAGGUAGGCGGAAUGUGACAAGUAGCGGUGAAAUGCAUAGAUAUGUCACAGAACACCAAUUGCGAAGGCAGCUUACUAAAGUAUGAUUGACGCUGAGGCACGAAAGCGUGGGGAUCAAACAGGAUUAGAUACCCCCGUAGUCC